UGGGGCUUAUCACAGCAUCACUCUCAUAGCUGGACACAGAGGGAGAACAAAAGGCCCCAGUUGUCCAGCAGGGUCCGCAGGCAGCUGCUAGUUUAUUAGUUCAAAUAGGGCAAUGUGUUCAGGCUUUCUGGAAAGUUCAAAAAUUCUGUGUGGGGGGAAAAAAUAUAUAUAUAUAUCGGUCUUUUCAAAAAGUAGAAUAGACUGCAGCAACAAAUGAGUCCCAGCUGUUUAAAAUUAGACUGCUUCAGGGGAUUUCAUAUAAAAAAUGCUCCAUAGGACUGCAGUAUUUUCACCAAAUUAGGACUUGAAUGAUUCAUUCGCUGAAGCUACUGGCCUCUGCACAUAGACGCCUAAGAUAGUUUUAAAAAGUGUUCACUCUAGGUUCACCCACAUCUCCACAAAUGUGUUUUUAAAAACAAGAUGCUUCAGUCACCACCCAGAAGACACUGACCAUACAACCUGACUUACAGGAAAGCAAAAGAGUUCAAGCUGAAAGAAUUCUGUACCCACCACAGGAAACCUGGGUGAUGAUCUCAGUUUUACCACUUGUCAACCACAUGAACCUGGGGAACUGUCUUCAUCUCGCUUGUCCAACUGUAAAAUGGAGAUGAUGUAUAUACGGAUGGAACAUCAUGGUUGCUAGAAGUCCAGCCUAGCUCUCAAAUGGAUAACUCCAUGACUUUUCUGUCAAAUACGAAAAGCUAUAAAGAAGGAAACUGUAAAGUCUGAAAACAGCACAACAGCAAAAUAAUCUUCCACUUGAAAUUGCAAAACUCCAUCAGAGAGACCAUCUCAGCUUACACUAGAAGGAGGCCCUCGAUAGCUGUCUGCAAUUGUUCCAGGCUCAGGUUGCCAGGACUCAUGGGAUAAGGUUGCUUCUUAUCUCCAGAUCCUGAUAGUCAAGGUGGACUGUAAGUUUCAUGAUGGAAAAGAUAUGCUGCCAGCUAGCAGAUAUUUGUCAAGUGUCCACACUCUGCGAGACAUUGGAGAUAGUAUGGUCCUUUAGACGUAUAAGAUCCUACGUCUGUCUCAUCCACUGCUACAUCCUAACAUGAAGCAAAUGCUUUUCCUCUCAGUUAAUGCAAUUCAUGCUUGUAAGAAUCUUCACCCAAUACCAAUACCAUUUUACAUUUGCCCCUGAAUCUAAGAAUCACUUGUAAAAUGGAAGAAGUUGGAAGAGAGGGAGAGAGAGAGAAGCUGAAGAAAGAAAAUUGUAAAGUAUUAUAUCACAUGCUUGCAAUGAGAAUGCAUGAGCCUACACUGCAGGGUGGGGUGGGGGUACUUGGAGAGACUGCCUCUUGGUCUUGAGUCCACCAGA